rnacentral:lncRNA from 1 species
AAUGAUCGAGUGGAUGCAUGAAGCGGGCCAUUGGAGAUGGAAUUUUUGAGAGCCUUAAGGAAGAUCACAUUUGCAUAUAGACAUCUAUAUUUUGUAUAAACCUUGGGACUUGUACAUGAUCUAUGUGUUGUAUAUUUACAUGAAAUUUUGAGGACUAAUGUGAUCAUGUCACCAUGCGUUGUAAAAUAAGUAUGGCUAUAUGUUUUGUUCUUUUGGG